UGGCUGCAGAGCUGCCUUCAGCCUGGUGUCCACUUGGAGGGGAUGCUGGGAGUAGACAAACCUGUUGUCCUACAGUGAUGAGGGGAAGCGGGGAGAUGUCCAGCUGUGAGGGUGGUGUAGCACCUCUGCUCUCCAGUCUGAGAGAACACAGCCACAUUCACACCUGGAGCUCCAGAGUGUUCUGAAGUGACCCUUCCUGCUUCUUCCUGUCGUGUCUCUAAGCAGGCCCUGGGAAGCCAUGACACCUGGUGGUGACCUUAGCUGACAGCAGCCUUGGGAUGCUCCUCCACUCUGACAGUGACACGGAGAGGAUUUUGAGGGGAAGAAGGGAAAGAGAAAGGCUAAAGAGGAGAUUUACUUCAUGACAGAUUAUUAUCGCCUGAAUUACAAAGUCAUUCAUACAGAAAUGCGGGUCCUGGAUUCCUCCGGCUAGAAUGCGGGAAUACAGCUAGGAUGCCAAAAAUGAGAGACGAAGACGCGCCCAC